rnacentral:rRNA from 1 species
UACGUAGGGUGCAAGCGUUGUCCGGAAUUAUUGGGCGUAAAGAGCUCGUAGGCGGUUUGUCGCGUCUGCUGUGAAAACGCGAGGCUCAACCUCGCGCCUGCAGUGGGUACGGGCAGACUAGAGUGCGGUAGGGGAGAUUGGAAUUCCUGGUGUAGCGGUCGGAAUGCGCAGAUAUCAGGAGGAACACCGAUGGCGAAGGCAGAUCUCUGGGCCGUUACUGACGCUGAGGAGCGAAAGCGUGGGGAGCGAACAGG